rnacentral:tRNA from 1 species
GGCGCCGUAGAGAAAUGGUAACUCGCCAGACUUCUAAUCUGUAGACUGCGGGUUCGAAUCCCGUCGGCGUCG